rnacentral:rRNA from 1 species
UACAGAGGUCCCAAGCGUUACUGAGAAUCACUGGGUUUAAAGGGUGCGUAGGUGGUCCGUUAAGUCAGUUGUGAAAUCCCCGGGCUCAACCCGGGAACUGCUUCUGAUACUGGCUGACUUGAGGCCAGUAGGGGUCACUAGAACUGACGGUGGAGCGGUGAAAUGCGUAGAUAUCGUCAGGAAUGCCGGUGGUGAAGACGGGUGACUGGGCUGGUUCUGACACUGAGGCACGAAAGCGUGGGGAGCAAACAGG